rnacentral:misc_RNA from 1 species
UCGAGUUUACAACUCCCAAACCCCUGUGAACGUUACCUGUCGUUGCUUCGGCGGCCACGCCCCGGUGCCUCUGUGCCCGGAACCAGGCGCCCGCCGGAGGCCAUAAACUCGUAUCUGUCAAAUUGUAUUCUGAGUGGCACAAUGCAAAUAAAUCA